AUUGAACGCUGGCGGCAUGCCUUACACAUGCAAGUCGAACGGCGGCACGGGGCAACCUGGUGGCGAGUGGCGAACGGGUGAGUAAUGCAUCGGAACGUACCUUUCAGUGGGGGAUAACGUAGCGAAAGUUACGCUAAUACCGCAUAUUCUGUGAGCAGGAAAGCAGGGGAUCGCAAGACCUUGCGCUGAUUGAGCGGCCGAUGUCAGAUUAGCUAGUUGGUGAGGUAAAGGCUCACCAAGGCGACGAUCUGUAGCGGGUCUGAGAGGAUGAUCCGCCACACUGGAACUGGACACGGUCCAGACUCCUACGGGAGGCAGCAGUGGGGAAUUUUGGACAAUGGGGGCAACCCUGAUCCAGCCAUGCCGCGUGAGUGAAGAAGGCCUUCGGGUUGUAAAGCUCUUUCGGCCGGGAAGAAAUCGCACGGGCUAAUACCCUGUGUGGAUGACGGUACCGGAAUAAGAAGCACCGGCUAACUACGUGCCAGCCGCCGCAGUAACAC
rnacentral:rRNA from 1 species